rnacentral:tRNA from 1 species
GAGGGUAUGGCUCACUGGUAAGUGCGUGCUUAGCAUGCAUGAGGUCCUGGGUCCAAUCCCCAGUCCCUCCA